rnacentral:rRNA from 1 species
AUAUCAAUAAGCGGAGGAAAAGAAACUAACAAGGAUUCCCCUAGUAACUGCGAGUGAAGCGGGAAAAGCUCAAAUUUAAAAUCUGGUGGCCCUUUGGUCAUCCGAGUUGUAAUUUAGAGAAGCGUCUUCCGCGCUGGACCGUGCACAAGUCUCCUGGAAUGGAGCGUCAUAGAGGGUGAGAAUCCCGUCUUUGGCACGGACCCCAGGGCUUUUGUGAUGCGCUCUCGAAGAGUCGAGUUGUUUGGGAAUGCAGCUCAAAAUGGGUGGUGAAACUUCAUCUAAAGCUAAAUAUUGGCGAGAGACCGAUAGCGAACAAGUACCGUGAGGGAAAGAUGAAAAGAACUUUGAAAGAGAGUUAAAACAGUAC